rnacentral:rRNA from 1 species
UGGGGGAAUAUUGGACAAUGGGGGCAACCCUGAUCCAGCCAUGCCGCGUGAGUGAUGAAGGCCUUCGGGUUGUAAAGCUCUUUUGGCGGGGACGAUGAUGACGGUACCCGCAGAAUAAGCCCCGGCUAACUUCGUGCCAGCAGCCGCGGUAAGACGAAGGGGGCUAGCGUUGUUCGGAAUUACUGGGCGUAAAGCGAGUGUAGGCGGUUGCCGUAGUCAGGUGUGAAAGCCUUGAGCUCAACUCAAGAAAUGCACUUGAUACUGGGUGACUAGAGGACCGGAGAGGAUAGUGGAAUUCCCAGUGUAGUGGUGAAAUACGUAGAGAUUGGGAAGAACACCAGUGGCGAAGGCGGCUAUCUGGACGGUUACUGACGCUAAGACUCGAAAGCGUGGGGAGCAAACAGGAUUAGAUACCCUGGUAGUCCACGCUGUAAACGAUGUCGAUUUUGGAGGUUGUGCCCUUGAGGCGUGGCUUCCGGAGCUAACGCGUUAAAUCGACCGCCUGGGGGA